GUAAAUGCUGAAUGCAGAGAACUAACUUUCAAAUACAGAACACAUUUCUAAAUCACACUUCUGCAAAAGCAGGUUUUAUGGUACGCCUCACAGUAUCCUUUUCUUUAGUACCAGGUCUUCUCUCAAAUCUGUUGGGAAAUGAACCUUAAAGAGAAUAGAAAUACAUACUCACUGCAAUCAGGAUUGCAUUCCCUGCUCACAGGGUUCUCCUCUUUUUAGGUGAAUCUACAGCAGCACCACUACAGCUACCAGUAAAUACCUUCUUUGGUUUGUUCUAGUUGAGCAACAUAGCACACACUAUAUCCUCCAAUCCAGCUUUAUAAUCUCAUCUUUUAUAAAAACAGAAUAGCGUUGCUUUGAUAUCUGGUAGGAGUAACCCACUCCAGAAAGACAGGUGUUUUGCAUUAAAUGCUUACAAAAGAGAUUGAUCAAUUUAAUACAGCUGUGUUUAUUUGAAGAGACGCCCUGAAAUCCUAAGGCUUAUGCCGAACUUCAUGAAGCAUUCCCUGGCUUGAGCUGAAUAACCAGCCACUGUAAAUUGAUACUAUCUUAUCUGUAUCAGAGGAUUCUGUCUGGAGAUGUUAUGUAAAAGAAAAUGAAGAUUUGUUAUAUGAGGCACAUUAUGGGAAGCAUUCAGCCAUGCUGUGAGACUCCUCCUUCCAUUUCCAAUGCACGUUUUGGCCAUGAUACUGUAUUUACUUGGCAUAUAACCAGUUCACUGGAAUUAGAUUACAUUUACUGUGGUAUUUGGGAAGGAUGCCAGUUUGUGGGGAUACUCAAAGAAUCCACAUAAAUCAACUGGAAGACGCCACUUUAGCUCUGCUACAAAUUAGAAUCAACAACGUCAACCACAGCUUUGGGAUAUGUGAAACAUACAGAUCAGAACAGCUUUUCAUCACAACAACGAGUAAACUUAGAGCCAAAGAUGCUUCAAUAAAGCAGUAGCAAAUACAGAAUUAGCUGUUUUCAUGCACUGAUGACCCUGCAGUAUGCACUGGAAGGAAUGCGAUCAUUUAUCUAGAAGGUACUUCCUCUGCAGUUGUUUUCCAGUCACUGAACUUCUGGGCGUGGAUUUACCCUAUUGAUGUGUUUUUAUACCAGAUGCCACAUUACAUUUAUAAAUGAUGAACAGCUGUAUCCUUAGCAGGGCUGGGUGCUGCUUCACAGCCCUUCCCAUCCUGAUCUGUGAUCCUUGCUGUUCUUGCUGGUUUGUGUGGGUUAAGAAAGACCUCUCCCCUGAAAAAGAUCAUGAAUAAAGGUCACACUUUAGAUAAGCAAGUAAACAAACCUGUACCCAGUGGAGGACAAUAAUAUUUCCUUCUUUAGCUUUUAUUUUAUGUAUUUGCUUUUUCAUUAGCAGUUUUACUCUAUCGUCAUUUUAUAAGCAGACUGUAGGAAUGAAUGGAGAUUUAGGGUGUCUUGGAGUCAUUCUGCCUGGCUAUGCAAGGAAUGUCCACUAUCAGCCCAGUGGUGGAAAAUAAUAGGAAACCUUGUACCAAACCUCAUUAAUGUGUAAUAAAAUGGACUAGCUUGUUAUCUUGGA